CAGAUUCCAUGCUGAGUGUAGAGCCUGACACAGAACUUGAUCUCAGGACUCUAAAAUUGUGACUUGAGUCAAAACCAAGUGAUGGAUGCUUAACUCAUUGAGUCACCCAUUUGCCUCAUUAAGAGUUUUAUUUUAAAAACGCUUCUCAGCUGCAGACGUGGAAUCUAGGAAACUCUACUGUGGGACUGACUUGCUCACAGUCAUGCUUUGCAGGAAGCAGGGGUGCCUAGAGAGGGCUGCUCUGCUAACUGGCCUGUGGCUCUCCUGCACUGUCUGCAUUCACCAUCCUCCAUCAGCUGGUGCCGGCCUGUCUGUCCCAGUUCUUCACAGGCCACGUGCCACUCCAAGCUCACCAGACUACUGGGGGUUCCACAGACACAAGGUCACAUCUAGAGCUGGGGACACCACGGAGCAUUUUCAGGGACUUAGAAAUCAGGGAAACCUGCUCCUGGCCUAGGAAGAUUCCCUGCUCUGGUCUUGCUCCAAACAUUUGUUGAACUCUGAUUCUAGUGGAAGAAGUGAAGGAGGGAAAGACACAAAGAUGGAUCAGAAGACCCUUGACCUUGGGGCACCUGAGAGGCUCAGUGGUUGAGCAUCUGCCUUCAGCUCCCGGCGUGAUCCCAGGGUCCUGGGAUUGAGUCUCCUAUCAGGGUCCCCACAGGGAGCCUGCUUCUCCCUCUGCCUAUGUAUCUGCCUCUCUCUAUGUCUCUCAUGAAUAAAUAAAUAAAAUCUUAAAAAAAAAAUGAGGAAGACCCUUGACCUUUAAAAGUCUAAAGCCUAAAAAAGGAGAAAAGAUACAAAUGUAAAUAAAUGUAACCUUUCCCUUUAAUUU